rnacentral:rRNA from 1 species
AUGUCUAGCUCGACUUCGGCCUCCCGCCAAUCAUGGACGCAGUACGGUCCACUGCUGUUGACAAGAUGCCCCGAUUGCCCGCGCAUGGAGCCUCUGAAGCGUUUGACUUGUGUGAGGGAAGAAAAUGGCAACCGUGGGCGCGAGUUUGUGAAAUGCUUGAGCAAGCCACAGCCGGGGCAGGUUCUGAAGAAAUGUGGGCAUUUUGAGUGGCUCGAUGACUAUGUUGAAAGGUUGAAAUUGGAGGGAUCAACCCGAACCCAAGAGCUCAAUUUUGGGGGGGGGGGGGCUUGCCGUGGAACAAGCCCCCAAUUUGGCGGACAGAGCCGAUCCGAUGAUGCACAGUGCAGAACUGAAGUGUGA